AAGAUCUUAGUUAAUAAAUAUAACAUUAAUUUGUCAAGUUAAAGUAACCUUUUAUGGUAUUUCUUAAGUAAUAUUUACUU
rnacentral:tRNA from 1 species